rnacentral:rRNA from 1 species
GUUUGAUCAUGGCUCAGGAUGAACGCUGGCGGCGUGCCUAAUACAUGCAAGUCGAACGGGGGUAGUUGUUCGUAAGGAUGGCUAUCCCAGUGGCAGACGGGUGAGUAACACGUAGUUGACCUGCCCUGAAGAGGAGGAUAACGUCUCGAAAGGGAUGCUAAUACUCCAUAAGCACACAGAGGUUAGAGGCUCGGUGUGAAAAGGGUUAUCGAAAGAUAACGUGCUUCAGGAGGGGACUGCGGCCCAUCAGCUAGUUGGUGAGGUAGAAGCCCACCAAGGCGAAGACGGGAAGGGGGCCUGAGAGGGUGGUCCCCCACACGGGCACUGAGAGACGGGCCCGACUCCUACGGGAGGCAGCAGUAAGGGAUAUUGCACAAUGGGUGAAAGCCUGAUGCAGCAACGCCGCGUGCACGAGGAAGGCCUUCGGGUCGUAAAGUGCUUUUCGGGGAGAAGAGGAAGGACGGUACCCCCGGAAUAAGUGUCGGCCAACUACGUGCCAGCAGCCGCGGUAAAACGUAGGACGCGAGCGUUAUCCGGAGUUACUGGGCGUAAAGGGCAGGUAGGCGGCUAGUCAAGUUGGUUGUGAAAUCUCCCGGCUAAACUGGGAGGGUGCAAUCGAAACUGAAUAGCUAGAGGACAGCAGAGGGUCGUGGAAUUCCGGGUGGAGUGGUGAAAUGCGUAGAGAUCCGGAGGAACACCAGAGGCGAAAGCGGCGACCUGGGCUGUAACUGACGCUGAACUGCGAAAGCCAGGGUAGCGAACGGAAUUAGAAACCCCGGUAGUCCUGGCCGUAAACGAUGCCAACUGGGCGUUGGUGGUGAAAGCCAUCAGGGUCGGAGCGAACGCGGUAAGUUGGCCGCCUGGGGAGUACGACCGCAAG